rfam:Sphingopyxis sp. LC363 contig8, whole genome shotgun sequence.
AGCGGAAGUCGGGCGGACGUGGUCUUCGCCAACCCGGUCAGGUCCGGAAGGAAGCAGCCGCAACGAAUUCGCCGCGGGUCGUUCCGGCUUCCACCCAU